rnacentral:rRNA from 1 species
AUAUGAAGUCGGGCCUGCCCAGUGAAGUGUUUUAACGGCCGCGGUACUCUGACCGUGCAAAGGUAGCAUAAUCAUUUGCCUUAUAAUUGAAGGCUGGAAUGAAUGGUUUGACAAGAAUACUACUGUCUCUAGGAAAUUUAUUAGAAUUUUAUUUUUAGGUGAAAAAGCCUAGAUAUUAUUGAAAGACAAGAAGACCCUAUCGAGCUUAAAAGAAAUAGAUAAAAUAUUAUUUUAUAUUUUUAGAUAAAUGUUUACUAAAGAUUUUGGUUGGGGCAACUAAGGAGUAGAUAAAGCCUCCUUUUUUUGUAAAAUUUGUUGAUUUUGAUCCAGGAGUAUCCUGAUUGAAAGAAUUAGUUACCGUAGGGAUAACAGCAUUAUCUUUUUUGAGAGCUCUUAUCGAAAAAAAGGUUUGUGACCUCGAUGUUGGACCAGAAUGUCCUAAAGAUGCAGAAGUCUUUAAGGGUUGGUCUGUUCGACCAUUAAAAUUCUA